rnacentral:tRNA from 3 species
UGCGGGGUGGAGCAGCGGCAGCUCGUUGGGCUCAUAACCCAAAGGUCGACGGUUCGAGUCCGUCCCCCGCGACCA